UACGGAGGGGGCUAGCGUUGUUCGGAAUUACUGGGCGUAAAGCGCACGUAGGCGGCUUUGUAAGUUAGAGGUGAAAGCCCAGAGCUCAACUCUGGAACUGCCUUUAAGACUGCAUCGCUUGAAUUGUGGAGAGGUAAGUGGAAUUCCGAGUGUAGAGGUGAAAUUCGUAGAUAUUCGGAAGAACCCCAGGGGCGAGGGGGCUUACUGGACACAUAUUGACGCUGAGGUGCGAAAGCGUGGGGAGCAAACAGG
rnacentral:rRNA from 1 species